GGCCCUGGCGCACCUUUCCUCCCCGCCGCCACAACGUGAGCGCCCCGCCGCCCAGAUAACCGCCGACUCCCGCUCCACCCCCGCCUUCCCCCACUCCGCCCACUGCCGAACGCCCAGGGCAAUCCAGCUUGGAAGACCAGUGUGCAGAGCGAUGGCUAAAGAAGCAAGCAGGGGCUGCAGACCAGUGUCCUCUCUCGACAUGUCAUAAGAAGAGGGCCUCCGCUCUCAAUCAGACUGCUAAGCCCAUGCCCCCUUCUUCAGUGGCUGGCAUUACAACUGACAGUCAAUGCAAGCACCAUUAAUUUUUUUUUUUGCAAGCACCAUUUAGCACCCACAGCUGGUCUCACUGGAAGAUCGGGCUUCUGUCAACCUGGUUUCCUGGCCUUGGAUAGUUCUUCACUAACUUCUUCAUUAAGGCAGUGGACAAAACCCAGUAUAAGCCAUUUUUAAAAAAGAUUUUAUUUAUUUAUUUGACAGAGAGAGAGAGGGA